AGGUGUAACGGGGUGAAGUUAGAGCGCUACAUUGACAUUGUAGAGGUCUCCUGUUCGAAUCAGGAUACACCCA
rnacentral:tRNA from 1 species